ensembl:snRNA U4 U4 spliceosomal RNA
AGCUUUGUGCAGUGGCAGUAUCAUAGCCAAUGAGGUUUAUCCGAGGCACGAUUAUUGCUAAUUAAAAAGUAACCUAGAGAAAAUUCAUUAUAGGAAUUUCAAACACUUUAAUAUUAGA